ACUACUUGGAUACCUGUGGUAAUUCUAGAGCUAAUACAUGCUAAAAACCCCGACUUCGGAAGGGGUGUAUUUAUUAGAUAAAAAACCAAUGCCCUUCGGGGCUGUUUGGUGAUUCAUAAUAACUUAACGAAUCGCAUGGCCUUGCGCCGGCGAUGGUUCAUUCAAAUUUCUGCCCUAUCAACUUUCGAUGGUAGGAUAGUGGCCUACCAUGGUUUCUACGGGUAACGGGGAAUUAGGGUUCUAUUCCGGAGAGGGAGCCUGAGAAACGGCUACCACAUCCAAGGAAGGCAGCAGGCGCGCAAAUUACCCAAUCCCGACACGGGGAGGUAGUGACAAUAAAUACUGAUGCAGAGCUCUUUUGGGUUUUGCAAUUGGAAUGAGUACAAUCUAAAUCCCUUAACGAGGAACAAUUGGAGGGCAAGUCUGGUGCCAGCAGCCGCGGUAAUUCCAGCUCCAAUAGCGUAUAUUAAAGUUGUUGCAGUUAAAAAGCUCGUAGUUGAAACUUGGGCCUGGCUGUCCGGUCCGCCUCACAGCGUGCACUGGUUCGGCCGGGCCUUUCCUUCUGGGGAUGCGCAUGACCUUUAUUGGCCGUGUUGUGGAACCAGGACUUUUACUUUGAAAAAAUUAGAGUGUUCAAAGCAGGCCUAUGCUCGAAUACAUUAGCAUGGAAUAAUAGAAUAGGACGUGCGGUUCUAUUUUGUUGGUUUCUAGGACCGCCGUAAUGAUUAAUAGGGAUAGUCGGGGGCAUCAGUACUCAAUUGUCAGAGGUGAAAUUCUUGGAUUUAUUGAAGACUAACUACUGCGAAAGCAUUUGCCAAGGAUGUUUUCAUUAAUCAGUGAACGAAAGUUAGGGGAUCGAAGACGAUCAGAUACCGUCGUAGUCUAACCAUAAACUAUGCCGACUAGGGAUCGGACGGUGUUAUUAUUUUGACCCGUUCGGCACNCUACGAGAAAUCAAAG
rnacentral:rRNA from 1 species